UACGUAGGUGGCAAGCGUUGUCCGGAUUUAUUGGGCGUAAAGCGCGCGCAGGCGGUUAUGUAAGUCUGACGUUAAAGCCCGGGGCUCAACCUCGGUUCGCAUUGGAAACUGUGUAACUUGAGUGCAGAAGAGGAAAGUGGUAUUCCACGUGUAGCGGUGAAAUGCGUAGAGAUGUGGAGGAACACCAGUGGCGAAGGCGACUUUCUGGUCUGUAACUGACGCUGAGGCGCGAAAGCGUGGGGAGCAAACAGG
rnacentral:rRNA from 1 species